ensembl:lncRNA LINC02248 long intergenic non-protein coding RNA 2248
AUCGGGAGAAUCCCCUGAGGCCAUGAGAGGGUCUCAGGGAGGUGGACGGCCCAUCAAGUGAGAACCGAGGGCACUGUGCACUCCUGAAUCCUAGGACUCCUCUUAGGUCAUUGACUAACAACAUCAACAAUGAAAUGAAUCUGAGAAAACAGGAAAUUGAGAGCAAGAGAAAAAAAAGUUAAUUAUACUGAUUUUGUAUAAGACCCCUUUGAACACAUUUUUAAAAAAUCAAAUAGAAGGUGCCCAGGUCCACUGUGCCUUGUGAAUAUUUGUCUUGUAUAUCCUAGAGAUCUACGCAUUCAUGUGGGAAUUGAAAAGGACCCACAUUUUACUAGAAGCAUCGUUCAUUUUUGCCUCAAAACAAUGCCCACAUGUCAGAAGAACUUUCACAAUUCACAGGAACAGUGACCUAAUUAACCAACCAUAAAAUUGCCAAAUCCCUACUUCUCAUUGUUUAAUAUGCUUAGAAAACCCAUUCAAAUUGUGAAUUAUCAAGUGAGCUUACACUGAUAAAUAGAUCCAAUAUUUAGGAAUUUUUAAAUCUUCCAUUCCUUUUUUUUUUUUGUCUUUUUAAAAAUAGAACAUUAGAAUAUGUCCUCCAGGUUUUAGAGAUGGGGGAGACAUGCUUCCCUUUAUUUCUCAGUAACUCAGCCAAAAAAAAUCUGGAGAGAAUGCAAAGACAGCUACUGGAAACUUUGAAAAGUAGAUGUGAGCCCAUCAGGGAAGAGCUAGAGAAUCUGAAAUCUACUCGAAAAAGUGAGUUUGAUACUUUGUGUUCCUAUCCUAACUCCACACAGCCUGAAACUUGGAAGUGAGCAUGAUGGAGUGGAUACAGUGAGAUGCAGAAGAAAUCCUCCAGUUUGGGCUGGAAGGGAAAAAAGAGACCCCUAAAACUCAGAGACAGUGGAAGAAAUUCCUGGUGUUUUUUUCUUCUCUUUUUCUCUGUUCUUCCACAUAGCAAUUUAGUAUUGACUACAGCAUCUCUGUUACAAUGAUAGCACCGAAAUGUUGUAACCAUAUGGCCUGCAAAGCCAAAAAUACUUAUCUGACCAUCUACAGGAAAAGUUUGCUGAUCUGGAUGAAAUAUUCUGAUACUAAAUAUUCCAUUUUGAGGCUGAUAUUCCUAAUCUAUUCAUAAGGAUGGCAUAUCUACCCAGUGGGCCUGCUGGGACUCCAGUUACCCGAUGCACAUACAUUGCUUGGUGUGAAUGUACAAAGAGACCAAGAAAACCUCAGUCAAACUUGGAAAUUUCCUUUGUAAUAUUCUUUUUAAAGUUAGUUAUGUGGCAGUUUCGUGUGCAUUUUUGGUGAUGAUGCUCCACGGAACAUCUGCAGAUGUGCUGUCAAUUUGGACAGCUCUGACUACCGAGUGAAUGGGAAGUACUAACGAGAACUGUCUGCUUGGGAACUCCAUGAAGUUCGUGGCUUUUGUGAUUGAAAUAGCAUCAAUAAAAGGUUGACACUGUGGAACAACACAAGCCUGCAUGGACCUGGUUAUCUCUGACCUCGCACCACUCAUGAGACCAUACCUGAGCCCUACUCCACUUUGGCAGAACUGUUGCAUGGCCUCUCUUCAUAUAAUACCUCUCCGUACACCGUACACCGCAGCUCAAAGAAAGGAUAUAUGCUCCCUGUGAAGACUAAUGGAACUGUCCCUCCUGAUCCUCCUACAGACUUCCUCUGGCCUAAUGGGUGCACCAUUGCAUUAUAUCUGCCAUCUAUACACACAUAUACCUUUCAACCCUGCACUCUCUGAGAUGACUGGACUCAUGCCUAAAUAACUGAUGCUGUCCCUAGUGUAAGGUAAGCACUCAAUAGUUUCUCAGGAAAUGAAUAUGAUAAAUAUUUUGGCUGUUUAGAGGCUUUCCUUCA